AGUGAGCCACUGCACCCGGCUCUUAACUGCCCUUUUGAGCUGGUUAUAACAUCACCUGGCUCCCUUAUGAGUUAAAUAAAAUGGUUAAUACCUAUUCAUUUUCUAUCUGUGUGGGAGUCAUGAUUUUACUUUUUUUGAAAAUGAAAAUGACCUUGGACCACUUCCUUCAUCAGGUGUUUGUGGCAGUUCCUUUAGGCCAGGGGAGGUGAUGGGGUCCCUUGCAGGGCAUCCCAUGAGGUAGAAUUAAGAACAGCCGGCCGGUGGCCUCUGCUCCCCAGAGCAGUCUCUGAAUGGGAAGGGAGGGGAGGGGAGGGGAGGAGGAAGACAAGAGGGAGGGUUUCUGCCCAGUGGAUGGAACAAGGUCUUAGCAAGACCUAGAUUCUUGGCCUGGGUGAAGUGGCUCAUGUCUGUAAUCCCAGCACUUUGGGAGCCGAGGCAGGAGGAUCACUUGAGCCCAGAAGUUCUAUUCCAGCCCAGGCAACAGAGUGAAACCCCAUCUCUACAAAAACAAAAACGAAAACAAAAACAGAAACAAAACAAAACAAAAAACUAGAUUCUCUGUCUGGUUAAGCUCCCAGCCAGUUAUUUGACCUUGAGACACAACCUCUGUAAGUUUUGAGGGUAAGGAAGGGUGUCAACAACUGAUGUUUGUUUCCUGAGCUCUUGUUUGUGUUGUUUGGGGUGAGGCUGGAGAGGUGGGAUGAUUGACUAUGCUGAACAGGAAGCUAGGUUUCAGCAGUUAGGCAGCCUGCCUGGGAUCAAGGCUCCUUGAUGACGAUCCUGACAGUAAUAACAACAGCAGCAGCUACCAUUUCGUGGGCACGCAUACGCCCACAUGUAUUAUCUCAUUUAGUCCCCACCACUGCCUGGAAGGAAGGAAUGAUCUAUGAUCCCAUCGUUCAGACCAGGAGACGAAGGCUCAAGGUCACACCACAUAGAUUCCGGCUCUAAAUUUAGCCAAGUCCUAAACCCUUUAUUCCACUGCCUUCGUCUCCUAGAUGUGACAGGGCCAUCCCUUGGCCAAUGAAUUACUUUUUUCCUCACCUGCAAAACAGAAUUAUUACCUUGAUCAUACACAUAAAGGAAUGCAAUGGCAGAUGACUAAAUGUCAUGUGGUUUCCUGGGAUGGAUUCUGGAAAGGAAGAAAGGACAUUAGUGGAAAAUCUGGUGAAAUCCCAAUAAAGUCUG
rnacentral:lncRNA from 1 species